GAUGCCGGUCGGCCCUUCGCGUCUCUGCUUAUUUUUCCAUCUUCAAAACUCAAAUUAUUCGGAGAUUAAUUUAAUUAAGCUCCAAGCUUAAUUCCUUAAAUUAAUUCCUUUCCAAAUAAUAUUAAAUUUCCAAGUCUACUAAUUAAAGUAGCUCACUCCAACCAAAAUCUCUCGGCCCAAAAAUUCAAUCGGCCCAACUCAUUAAUUAUUCUAGAGGCCCAAGCAAUUAAUUUACUUGGCCCAACUCAUUCUAUUAUUCACCUCUGGUCCAAUAAACAAAUUAAUAGGAGCCCAACUAAUUUAUUAAAAUUGGCCCAAAAACUACUCCCUUUUUCCUUCUUCUCCAUCGUGACCUCCUCAAAUCAUCAUCAUCAUCAUCAUCAUCAUCAUCAUCAUCAUCAUCCCCAAAUGACAUCCCCAAUUUGGGAAAUCACCGACACCUGCUUCCCCUCUCACGCCUCCUCCAGCGAAAACGCCGAUUGAGGGGAAACGCGUCGCCUUUCUUCCUCUGGUUCUUUCUCAAUUCUGAAUCUGUAAAUUUUCUUUUUCUAGAUCGAAGCAGCGCUUCCGUCCGUCCUCGUCUCCUUCUCCGGCGAAAUCGCGUUGCAGUCGGCUCGCUCUCCACCGAUCAUUGCCACCGGCGUCGAGUUCUUUCUCCCUACGAGGUUGCCGACAGAGAAGGCGUCGCCCCCUGCCUCCCUGCGAAGUUACCGAUAGGAAGGAGGCGUCGCCUCCCUUCCACGGCUUCGAUACCGACCGCCGCUGCCCCCAUCGCAUCAGCGUUCGCCCGUCGCCGGUCCGCCCGCCGUUCACGCGGCCUCCGUCGUCGCUGCUGCUCAGGCAGCGCCGCCUCCUCUGGCGAUUAAGCUGAGUCCCCCUUCCCUUUACCCCCCUUAAUUUCUGUAAAUUAUUCCGUGAGUUGUGGAGUUCUCUAUUGAAGAUGUCUUUGGAAUGAGGCAUUGCUGAUCUUGGUGCCUUACUACAGAAAGCUAAUUGUUUUGGUAUUUGCUCACUGUGAAGGGGUUUUACAAGUUGUUUGCUACUGUCAUUGUUGAGAUUUUACCUAUAUGAUGCUUGCUUCUUGCUAUUGAUGUGGAGAUCCUAUUGAAAUCCUAAGUUCUCGGCUACUAAUUUGCUUGUUCUAAUUAAUGCAAGAAUUGGUUCCGGGGGAAUUACCUCAGCUUGAUGAACCUUGUUCUGCCCUCUUACUGUCACUGCCUCGCGCUGCCCGUUCCUCCCUCCGUCGCACUCCACGCCUGAAAAUCUUGGGCCGAAAGAGUGGAGGGAAGGGCGAUGGCUGUAUUUAUAGGCUAAAUUCUUUGGCUUCUUGUGGCAGAUUUUUGAGCAUUGGUGCUUCUAUUUUCGGCUAGGGGCUUAGCUCCCUUUUGAGCUUUGUAACUAGGGUGAUCAUGCUAGAUUGGUGUAAGUUUGGGGCUGCCAUUAUUGGCUGGUAUCUCAGCCUCGGUUGAGGAGGAGGAGAGUACUUUGUUGCCUCAAAAAGGUACAUGGCUGUCCAAGCUUGGUGUUUUAUGGAGCAACAAUCGAGAGAGGAGGAAUGAGAGGAAGAGAGAAAGAGACCUCACUCUUGGAGCUCUUUGUUUUCUAUACUACUUUAGUUAUUUCCAAGAUUGUAUUGUCUUUUUCAUGUACUAUUGAUCAUGUAAUUGCAUCUCCACAUUGAAAUUUGUAUUUCCAAAUUGUACUUUUAAAUAAAAGCAUAUCUCAUACUUUUAUCCUUGAA